rnacentral:rRNA from 1 species
AUUGAACGCUGGCGGCAGGCCUAACACAUGCAAGUCGAACGGUAACAGGAAACAGCUUGCUGUUUCGCUGACGAGUGGCGGACGGGUGAGUAAUGUCUGGGAAACUGCCUGAUGGAGGGGAUAACUACUGGAAGCGGUAGCUAAUACCGCAUAACGUCGCAAGACCAAAGAGGGGGACCUUCGGGCCUCUUGCCAUCGGAUGUGCACAGAUGGGAUUAGCUAGUAGGGGGGGUAACGGCUCACCCAGGCGACGAUCCCUAGCUGGUCUGAGAGGAUGACCAGCCGCACUGGAACUGAGACACGGGUCAGACUCCUACGGGAGGCAGCAGUGGGGAAUAUUGCACAAUGGGCGCAAGCCUGAUGCAGCCAUGCCGCGUGUAUGAAGAAGGCCUUCGGGUUGUAAAGUACUUUCAGCGGGGAGGAAGGGAGUAAAGUUAAUACCUUUGCUCAUUGACGUUACUCGCAGAAGAAGCACCGGCUAACUCCGUGCCAGCAGCCGCAGUAA